rnacentral:rRNA from 1 species
UGGCGGCGUGCCUAAUACAUGCAAGUCGUACGCUUCUUUUUCCACCGGAGCUUGCUCCACCGGAAAAAGAAGAGUGGCGAACGGGUGAGUAACACGUGGGUAACCUGCCCAUCAGAAGGGGAUAACACUUGGAAACAGGUGCUAAUACCGUAUAACAAUCGAAACCGCAUGGUUUUGAUUUGAAAGGCGCUUUCGGGUGUCGCUGAUGGAUGGACCCGCGGUGCAUUAGCUAGUUGGUGAGGUAACGGCUCACCAAGGCCACGAUGCAUAGCCGACCUGAGAGGGUGAUCGGCCACAUUGGGACUGAGACACGGCCCAAACUCCUACGGGAGGCAGCAGUAGGGAAUCUUCGGCAAUGGACGAAAGUCUGACCGAGCAACGCCGCGUGAGUGAAGAAGGUUUUCGGAUCGUAAAACUCUGUUGUUAGAGAAGAACAAGGAUGAGAGUAACUGUUCAUCCCUUGACGGUAUCUAACCAGAAAGCCACGGCUAACUACGUGCCAGCAGCCGCGGUAAUACGUAGGUGGCAAGCGUUGUCCGGAUUUAUUGGGCGUAAAGCGAGCGCAGGCGGUUUCUUAAGUCUGAUGUGAAAGCCCCCGGCUCAACCGGGGAGGGUCAUUGGAAACUGGGAGACUUGAGUGCAGAAGAGGAGAGUGGAAUUCCAUGUGUAGCGGUGAAAUGCGUAGAUAUAUGGAGGAACACCAGUGGCGAAGGCGGCUCUCUGGUCUGUAACUGACGCUGAGGCUCGAAAGCGUGGGGAGCAAACAGGAUUAGAUACCCUGGUAGUCCACGCCGUAAACGAUGAGUGCUAAGUGUUGGAGGGUUUCCGCCCUUCAGUGCUGCAGCUAACGCAUUAAGCACUCCGCCUGGGGAGUACGACCGCAAGGUUGAAACUCAAAGGAAUUGACGGGGGCCCGCACAAGCGGUGGAGCAUGUGGUUUAAUUCGAAGCAACGCGAAGAACCUUACCAGGUCUUGACAUCCUUUGACCACUCUAGAGAUAGAGCUUCCCCUUCGGGGGCAAAGUGACAGGUGGUGCAUGGUUGUCGUCAGCUCGUGUCGUGAGAUGUUGGGUUAAGUCCCGCAACGAGCGCAACCCUUAUUGUUAGUUGCCAUCAUUCAGUUGGGCACUCUAGCAAGACUGCCGGUGACAAACCGGAGGAAGGUGGGGAUGACGUCAAAUCAUCAUGCCCCUUAUGACCUGGGCUACACACGUGCUACAAUGGGAAGUACAACGAGUCGCGAAGUCGCGAGGCUAAGCUAAUCUCUUAAAGCUUCUCUCAGUUCGGAUUGUAGGCUGCAACUCGCCUACAUGAAGCCGGAAUCGCUAGUAAUCGCGGAUCAGCACGCCGCGGUGAAUACGUUCCCGGGCCUUGUACACACCGCCCGUCACACCACGAGAGUUUGUAACACCCGAAGUCGGUGAGGUAACCUUUUGGAGCCAGCCGCCUAAGGUGGGAUAGAUGAUUGGGGUGAAGUCGUAACAAGGUAG